CCACCCCCACCUCCCUCUUCACCAAUUCUCCACAAGGGCACCCCCCCUCCCUCUUCCAAAAAAACAUUAUCACACAGAGGCACCCCCACCUCCCUCUUCAAAACCUUAUCACACAGAGGCACCCCCAUCCUCCCUCUUCAAAACCUUAUCACACAGACACCCCACCGCCCCUCUUACAACAUUAUCACACAGGCGGCACCCCCACCUCCCUCUUCAAACAUUACUCACACAGACAACCCCCACCUCCCUCUUCAAACACAUUAUAACACAGAGGCACCCCCCACCUACCUCUCAAAACAUAUCACACAGACACCCCCCCCUCCCUCUUUCAAACAUUAUCACAACAGAGGCCCCCCCCACCCUCCCUCUUCAAAAACAUAUCACCAGACACCCAACCUCCCUCUUAAAACAUUAUCACACAGAGGCACCCCACCUCCCUCUCCAAAAAUUAUCACACAGAGGCACCCCCCACCUCCUUCUCAAAAAACAUUUAUCACCCAGACACCCCACCCUCCCUCUUCAAAACAUUAUCCCACAGACACCCCCCCCCUCCCUAUUCAAACCUUAUUCACACAGGGACCCCCAACCCCUUUCCAAAACAUUAUCACACCGUACACCCCCACCCUCCCUCUCAAAAUAUUAUCACACAGAGGCACCCCAACCUCCCUCUUCAAAACCUUAUCACACAGACACCCCCACCUCCCUUUCAACACAUUAUUCACACAGACACCCCCACCUCCCUCUUCAAAACAUUUAUCCACACAGACCACCCCCACCUCCUCUUCCAAUAUUAUCACCAUGUCCUCCACCUCUCUCUCUUUUUUCUUUCUUUCUCUUCUGUGUGUCCUCAUCACUCUGUUCUCCAUCACUCUGUUCUCCAUAACUCUGUUCUCCAUCACUCUGUUCUCCAUAACUCUGUUCUCCAUAACUCUGUUCUCCAUAACUCUGUUCUCCAUCACUUGUUCCACACUCUGUUCUCCAUACACUCUGUUCUCCAUAACUCUUUCUCCAUAACUCUGUUCUCCAUAACUUGUUCCCAGAAUCUGUUCUCCAUAACUCUGUUCUCAUCACUCUGUCUCCAUAACUCUGUUCUCCAUAACUCUGUUAUCCAUAACUCUGUUAUCCCUACACUCUGUUCUCCAUACUCUGUCCUCCAUAACUCUGUUAUCCAUAACUCGUUCUCCAUAACUUAUGUUCUCCAUAAUCUGUCCUCCAUAAACUCGUUCUCAUAACCUUUCCCAAUAACUCUGUUCUCCAUAACUCUGUUCUCCUAACUCUGUCUCCAUCACUCUGUUCUCCAUAACUCUGUUCUCCAUCACUCUGUUCUCCAUACCUCUUGUUCUCCAUCACUCUGUUCUCCUAACUCUGUUCUUCAUAACUCGUUCUCCAUAACUCUGUUCCAUAACUCGGUUCUCCAUCACUCUGUUCUCCAUAACUCGGUUCUCCAUAACUCUGUUCUCCAUAACUCUGUUAUCCAAACUCUGUUCUCAUCACUCUUUUCUCCUACUUG
rnacentral:lncRNA from 1 species